UUUUAUGCAUGAGCAAAGACAGUGAUUUUAUUGAGAUGGAAUUUAAUUUUGGUGACAGUACUGUGAA
rnacentral:pre_miRNA from 1 species